UACGUAGGGUGCAGGCGUUAAUCGGAAUUACUGGGCGUAAAGCGUGCGCAGGCGGCUCCUUAAGUCAGAUGUGAAAUCCCCGGGCUUAACCUGGGAACUGCGUUUGAAACUGGGGAGCUAGAGUGUGGAAGGGGGGGGUGGAAUUCCAGGUGUAGCAGUGAAAUGCGUAGAUAUCUGGAGGAACACCGAUGGCGAAGGCAGCCCCCUGGGCUGACACUGACGCUGAGGUGCGAAAGCUAGGGGAGCGAACAGG
rnacentral:rRNA from 1 species